CUGGUCUCAAACUCCUGAAAUAUCCAGAAAUACUGUUUUCUUUACAAAUUGUUUGCUACUAUUUAGAGUCAACUACAGAAAUAUUUUUUUGUGUAAAUAAUGUGAUGAGAAAUUUAAAUCAUUUCACAGAAAAUGCCCUUAUUCACCUUUCCUAUUUUACCUACGUUUUUGGUAAGAAUUUUGUAGAAAUUCAGAGGAGCUCUUAAUCAUCUACAAUGAAGGCAUUCAUGGAGAAUUUACUUUUGAGGUGGACUUUGAAAGAUGAAUAGAAUUUUCACACAUAAAGAUGAAGUAAUAGAAGAAAAACCUUGAACAAAGAGUGUACCAAGAAAGAGACAACAUAUUUUCUGUAAAAUAUGACUCAUAUUGGAAAGUGGUUAGCCUUAGCACCGAGAAGAUUGGCUCAUGGUCAUGUAGCCUAUCUCCCAGAUGGAAGUCUAAUGUCUUGACAAUUGGUCAAUAAAAAGAUAAACUUGCUGAAGAUUUUAGUGCAAUCGAGUGAAAGCUGUACUAAUAAAGACAGAAAUUAUCUCACAUGAAAGGAGAGAUGGGAUGUAUACAAACUUUAAAUAUGGUAGGCAAGGGAAAAGAAAUCAUAAAAAUACAUAUGAGUAAGUGUGGAGAAUUGCCAUGCUAUAAAAAUUGUGAUUUUUUAAUGAUUUGGGUUUUGGGUGAUUAUUGAUUAGAUAUUCUUCUAACUUUGGUUGACUCAUUUUCUAGGCAAUGUUAGGAUAUACAGGUUAAAAUGUCAGGUAGAAAAUGAAAAUAGGGGGUUGCAGAUAUGGAGUUAAGAAUACUUCAAAUAAUAGGCUAGUUUAAAGCCCUGGAAAUAGAAAUGUUAAAUAAAAAGAUUGGGGAAAAAAGGUUAAAGGCAUAAUUCUGGAAAAUACUCACUUUUUGGAGCAGAAGAAAGAUGAAGAACUAACAAACAAGCCAAUGGUGGAAAUACUACUAGAGUUUGACAUGUCAGAGAAAUCAUAGAGGAAAAUGUUUUAAGUGAGAGGCUGAAUUUAACAAGCUAUAGAGAUAUCGGGAAAUAGUGUAAAGAAUAUGCACAUACAUUUUUAUUACUUUAGUAAGUAAAACUGUUCAGGCAAUUUGACAUUUAUUGAAUAAAGAAAAGCAGAAAUUUAACAAUAAGAACACAAGAAGAUAAAAUGUAGAAAAGUUAGAAUUAUAUGCUCACCUCAGAGUAAUAUAUGCCAGUGUUUCUGGUGACCAAAUAAAUAUUAAUGCAUUUCUUCCACACGAAACUAUGGAGGACAGUUUACGUUUCUGAUAUCCAUGACAUACAGGUCAUACUUUAUUAUUAAUUGAUACGAUAUUUAAAAUAUUGGGAAGAAAUUCCUUUCCUUAUGAAGAAGAAAUCCCUAGAUGAAACUAAUGUAAGGAGCCAGACGGUAUGAAUACCUCUGCAAUUGAUGAAGUUAAGGAUUUACUAUUAAAGUAUGAUAAAGAAAUAGAAGGUGCAUGAAAGAACCCAGAUAUUGCGGAAGUAAUUCAUGUAAUCAUUACCUUUUGAAGCCACAUGAUGUCGCUGUCUACUAAGAAGUUCUGGUUAGCCAAGGUUCAAAGUCGUUCCUCUGACAGCAUCCGUCUCUAAAGUCUGAACAAUGGGAGAUGCAGCGGAAUUGAAUUAAAAGACGCCGGAAAGUACAGUCGUUCAUCUUCAUAUUAAGAUAAGAUUUUCUAAUAGGAAACGACUAUUUAACAUGGUUUGUCACUGGCGAGGAGACCUGGGAUCCCGGCGACUACUACUCUCGCUUCUGCUCCUCGCAGCCUGGAAGGCGGGGAGCGGCCAGCUCCACUACUUUGUCUCCGAGGAGGCCAAACACGGCACCUUCGUGGGCCGCAUCGCGCAGGACCUGGGACUGGAGCUGGCGGAGCUGGUGCCGCGCCUGUUCCGGGUGGCGUCCAAAACACACGGGGACCUUCUGGAGGUAAAUCUGCAGAAUGGCAUUUUGUUUGUGAAUUCUCGAAUAGACCGCGAGGAGCUGUGCGGGAGGAGCGCGGAGUGCAGCAUCCACCUGGAGGUGAUAGUGGACAGGCCACUGCAGGUUUUCCAUGUGGACGUGGAAGUGAAGGACAUUAACGACAACCCGCCAGUGUUCCCGGUAAAAGAGCAAAAGCUAUUUGUUUCAGAAUCCAGAAUGCCAGACUCUCGGUUUCCGCUAGAGAGCGCGUCUGAUGCAGAUGUUGGAGCUAACUCCGUGUUAACUUAUAGGCUUAGCUCUCAUGAUUACUUCAUGCUAGAUGUGAAUUCAAAGAACAAUGAGAAUAAACUGGUUGAGCUCGUAUUAAGAAAAUCCUUGGACAGAGAGGACGCUCCUGCACACAACUUAUUCCUGACAGCCACAGAUGGCGGCAAACCUGAGCUUACAGGCAGUGUUCACCUGCUGGUCACAGUGCUGGAUGUGAAUGAUAAUGCUCCCACUUUCGAGCAGCCUGAAUACGAAGUAAGAAUAUUCGAAAACGCAGACAACGGAACAACAGUUAUCAGACUGAAUGCUUCUGAUCGGGAUGAAGGAGCGAAUGGGGCCAUUUCAUACUCUUUUAAUAGCCUUGUUGCAACUAUGGUUAUUGACCACUUUAGCAUAGAUCGAAAUACAGGAGAAAUAGUGAUUCGGGGUAAUUUGGAUUUUGAACAAGUAAAUUUAUAUAAAAUCCGCAUUGACGCAACGGACAAAGGCCAUCCUCCCAUGGUGGGUCAUUGCACCGUUUUAGUGAGAAUUUUGGAUAAAAAUGAUAACGUCCCUGAGAUAACAUUGACUUCCUUAUCCUUGCCUGUACGUGAAGACGCUCAAUUCGGUACUGUCAUCGCCCUAAUUAGCGUGAACGACCUUGACUCAGGUGUCAACGGGCAGGUGACCUGCUCCUUGACGCCCCAUGUCCCCUUCAAGCUGGUGUCCACCUUCAAGAAUUACUACUCAUUGGUGCUGGACAGCGCCCUGGACCGCGAGAACGUGUCAGCCUAUGAGCUGGUGGUGACCGCACGGGACGGGGGCUCGCCUUCGCUGUGGGCCACGGCCAGCGUGUCUGUGGGUGUGGCCGACGUGAACGACAACGCGCCGGCGUUCACGCAGUCCGAGUACACGGUGUUCGUGAAGGAGAACAACCCACCGGGCUGCCACAUCUUCACAGUGUCGGCGGGGGACGUGGAUGCGCAGGAGAACGCGCUGGUGUCCUACUCGCUGGUGGAGCGGCGGGUGGGCGAGCGCGCGCUGUCGAGCUACGUGUCAGUGCACGCGCAGAGCGGCAAGGUGUACGCUCUGCAGCCACUGGACCACGAGGAGCUGGAGCUGCUGCAGUUCCAGGUGAGCGCGCGAGACGCAGGCGUGCCGCCUCUGGGCAGUAACGUGACGCUGCAGGUAUUCGUGCUGGACGAGAAUGACAACGCGCCGGUGCUGCUGGCGCCUCGGGUGGGUGGCACUGGUGGUGCAGUGAGCGAGCUGGUGCCGCGGUUGGUGGGUGAGGGCCACGUGGUAGCAAAGGUGCGCGCGGUGGACCCCGACUCGGGCUACAAUGCGUGGCUUUCGUAUGAGCUGCAGCUAGCGGCAAGCAGCGCUCGGUUCCCGUUCCGUGUGGGGCUGUACACGGGAGAGAUUAGCACGACUCGUGCCCUGGAAGAAGCGGACUCUCCGCGCCACCGCCUGCUGGUGAUAGUGAAGGAUCAUGGUGAGCCGGCGCUGAUGGCCACGGCCACCGUGCUGGUGUCGCUGGUGGAGAGCGGCCAGGCUCCAAAGGCGUCUUCGAGGCCGUCGACUGGCGCUCUGGGUCCCGAAGCGGCGCUGGUGGAUGUCAACGUGUACCUGAUCAUCGCCAUCUGCGCGGUAUCUAGCCUUCUGGUGCUCACGCUGCUACUGUAUACUGCGCUGCGGUGCUCAGCUCCGCCCACUGAGGGUGGGUGCCCGGCGGGGACCCACCCCGCCGGGUCCAGUGCGGUGGGGAGCUGGUCAUACUCGCAGCAACAGCGGCAGAGGGUGUGCUCUGGUGAGGGGCCACUGAAGACGGACCUCAUGGCCUUCAGCCCCAGCCUUCCUCCUGAUCUGGGAUCAGUUGAUGUAGGCGAACAGCAAGGUUUAAAUGUUGAUCAUGGCCUCAAAGUAAGUCCAUUUAAAUUUAGAACUCAUAAAUUCUAUUUGUGGAAAUUGUAAUUACUUUAAAAGUGUUUCAUAUGUAUUUUUCACCGUAUUAUAUAGUGAAAAUUUAAACAUUGUUUUAGUUUUUAGAAACCUUUUAUAAUUAAUUGAAUUUUCUCAGUGGCAUAAUACAGUAUUAAUCAUUCUCCACAAGUUGGGUCUAUCUGGAAACUCAAGUUAUGGUUGGAUGAUAUCCCUUUUUUACUGACCAUUUAUUUUGGCCUGCCUUACAGCCGUCUUCUCUGAACAAUGCUCUAACAACGUCCAGGGUAUUUUGAUCUUUGGUGAAUGUAUUCCCCCAAAACAUUUAUUCUUUUGUCCUUAGGCACUGAACUCUUAAUCUUACUCCAUAUGCUGUACUUUGAAAUGCAUGUUUUAAAUAUGUUGUCGUUAUGUUUACUCUUAUUCACUUUAACAUCUCAGUUUAUUCAUCUUAUUAUCUGACUUUCUGGUGUCUAAUAGUCACAAAUAUCUUUGGUGUUUCACUAUUGCCGUUUUAAGCAAUGUAGUGAUAAAAUACAGAAUAAUAGUGUUUUUCAAAAUUUGAUAGUUUUCAUAUACUUCCUAAUUUUUUUAUAAACUAGUAAAAAAGUAAAAUCAAGAGGGAAGAGAUUUGUAAUGCUUCUUUUAAGUCAUUAUUUAGACCAUUUUACUAUUUGGAGACGUGUUUUUUAUUCUACAUGAUUUUUACAGUUGGGGUGUCGACAACUUAACAUUUUUUGAGCCUCUAUGUUUAGAAAAUGAUUACUUUACUCUUGCAAGUAUCUUCUAAACUCUUAUCAUUCAAUCCUUUGUUCAUGAGUUGGAAUCUUCUCAAUAAUAUUCCACAUUAAAGUGAUAUUUAAUAUGACUUAGAAAAAUGUUUUCAUCAGAAAAACUAUACAUGGUAAUUUCAUUCUUGCAAACCAAACAUAAUUUAUAAAUCUUUAUUAUACAGAAUAUUUGGGAUUAUCAUGGCCCAUUAGUUUGUGUAAAAAUAUUUAGCUUUAUGGGAUAAAUCUUUGAAAAAUCCAAGAUACUUUAUUUUGAUGUCUUUCAAUGUUUUCUUUCUUUUCUUUCCUCUUGUCUUUUUACUUUUGCUUCUUGUGACUGUUCCACCUGCCUUGAUAUUAAAUACCCAUUAGACUUUGAGCAUGUUGCUUUGGAGGAAAUGGUGGAACUUGAUGGAAGGGAAUGAAGGAUUUCUGGGACUCUGAAUUCUUACAGUUUGUUAUUAGCAUUAUUUUAAAUCUUUUAAUCCCUUAAGAACCAAUAAUGUAAUCAUUUAUGGGCAUGUUUUAUCCCCUUUGUCCACCUGAAGGUAACCUCAAAGCAGAAUUAUUUUGUAGUUGAUUUUAAUGUUCUCUUAAUGCCUGUCCAUGUUUAACAUUUUAUUUGACUAUUAGAACACAUUACAUAAAAGCAAAUUGUUUUCAUUUUAGUCCUUUAAGGACUUUAAAAAAUAUGCUUAUCUUUAUUAUCCUGUUUGAAUAGUAUGUGGAGUUUUUCCUUUGUGUAAGUAAUAUUUCCCAUCCUGUCUAUGUCUACCUGGUUCUCAGGUAUUACUUUAAUUACUGAAUUCUCCUAAACAUUUAAUUGACUUUUACAAAAUAUCAUAAAUAAAAGGAUUCUUUCCGCCACCUAGCAUUGUAUUUGGCAACUUAUCAUUUAAGUCAUUUUAGUUCUGUGUUUCUUCAAAUAUCUCUCUAAUUGAUAUUUGAAUUUGGGGUUGUGCUUUCACAAUGAGAAAGUCUAAACCUGUUUCUUGUACAUUAAUACUUUUCACUAUUCUAAUUAUGGUGAUGCUUUUAGCUAUUAAGUAUUUCUGGGAUUGAAAUGUGCCAGAAGUUAGUUAUUAAGUAUUGUGGAUUCUGAAGCUCUCUAAAUCAAGUCCUCCCUUUACCAAUUUUUGUAUAUGUAGUCUUUGGUAAAGGAUUUGUUAUUCAGUUCCUUGGCUUUAUAUGUAUGCAUGAUAAAUGUGAAUUCUACUGCAUAUACUUUUUGUAUCAAGUAAGUUAAUAGUUAUAAAUUAUCAAGAAUAAAGUCUGGCAAGUGAUAGGUACAUAAUAAAAUUUAGUUAUCAUUCUUAAAAGAAAAGAAGUUAGUGAUUGCAAGAAGGAAACCUAAAAUGUCAGAAAGUCAUUAUGACCGUCCAUACUAACCUUAUUUUUAUGUAAAAUUAUCUUUUAUAAAGUCAUUUUUAGAUUAACCUAGGAUGUUUCAAUACUUUGAGUGUUGUGUGGUGGAAUGAAAAAAAUCUAAAGGUUAUUAUGGGUUUAGGAAAGUCAAGUUAAUACCACCUAUGUGGAAAAAAACUUUCUGGAAUGGUUAAAGUCCUUCCAAGGAAUGUGUAGACUAUCUUACAUUGGUAGCUGUAUGUUUCCCAUAUUUAAAAGUUGCCUGAGACCUUGCAGAGGGCUGAGUAUGUGUUUGAGAUCUUUGUAUGUUUCUUUCCAUUAAUAGUAUUUUUCUUAAAAAGAAGUAUACGAUAAUAUUUUGAUGAUGAUUUGAAGUCAAUUUAUGUUGUAGUUCUAUGAAUUAAGUAGACCAUUUAUGUAGAGUGUUGUAGA